AAUAAUGAUGGGGUGUGUCAAAUAGAAGGCAUAGCUCAUGUUGGAAAGAGGAAUCCAGAGACCAGAGGACAGAAAACUAUUGAUCCACCCUGUUCAAUUAGAAAGAAUGAAAAUAUUAACAUAUUAUUUUAUUUUAUUAUGAAUGGUUG